rnacentral:pre_miRNA from 1 species
AAAGUACUCCCUCUGUCCCAAAAUUCCUGUCUUAGAUUUGUCUAGAUACGGAUGUAUCAAGUCACAUUUUAGUAUUAGAUACAUCCGUAUGUAGACAAAUCUAAGACAAGAAAUUUGGGACAGAGGGAGUAGUUG